rnacentral:rRNA from 1 species
AGUGAACGCUGGCGGUAUGCCUAACACAUGCAAGUCGAACGGGAGCUCAGUAUUAGCUUGCUCUUACGGGUGGCGAGUGGCGGACGGGUGAGGAAUACAGCGGAAUCUACUUUUUCGAGGGGGGUAACGAAGCGAAACGUACGCUAAUACCGCAUACGACCUGCGGGUGAAGGCAGUGGAGCUUCGUACCUUGCGCGGUGGAGUGAUACGGUGCCGGAUCAGCGAGUUGGCGGGGGAAAGGGCCACUAAGGCGACGAUCCGUAGCUGGCCUGCGGGGAUGAUAGGCCACACUGGAAGGGAGAGACGGUCCACACUGCUACGGAGAGCCGCAGUGGGGAAUAUUGGGCAAUAGGCGCAAGCAUGAUCCAGCAAUGCCGCAUGGGUUAAGAAAGCCUUGCGGUUGGAAAGUACUUUUGUUGGGAAAGAAAAGCAGCAGGUUAAUACGCCGAUGUUAUGACGGUACCCAAAGAAUAAGCACCGGCUAACUUCGUG